GUAGCAAGUUAAGUGGGCUUGAUUGUGCGGAAAACUCCACAGUUAAGCGCGCUUGAGCCAGAGGCGUCUUGGGAUGGGUGACCACCUGGGAAGUCCCGGUUACCUGGUGCA
rnacentral:rRNA from 1 species